rnacentral:lncRNA from 1 species
AUGGUCUCCUUGACUGUGCUCACCAUCUUUUUCAUUUCCCUAUCUAGCAUCUGUUUGGGAACUCCAUAUGAUGAAAACACUGUCUGCUGCUUUUCCUAUAUUGGAAGGAUUCCCAGAACAGUUCUGAUUAACUAUAAGUAUACCAGCCAGUCAUGUCCUACACCAGGAGUCAUCUUCUUCACCAGGAGGGGCCAUCACCAGAUCUGUGCCAACCCCGAAGAACAGUGGGUCCAGAAUAUGGUGUCUUCCCUACCUCCGAAGAAAGAGUCUGAGGAAUAUGAACACUUGGAAUUUUAUCCAUAGGAGAAUAGAAUAAAACUGUAUUGGACUUAUUAAGGCA